ACCAGCCCUUCAAACCGCUGCACACCGGCGGCAUUAUCAUCAUGAAGGACACCAGCGAGGAAGAGGAGGAGCUGGUGGAGCCUGUCUCUGCCCACGGCCCCAAGAUCGAGGAGGAGGAACAGGAGCCCGAGGCCCCCGAGUCCUUCGAGUACGUUGACGAAUGAACGCUGUCCAAGCAAAAAGGUGACCUUACCAGGCUUCUACAGGAAGAAACUUCACAUCCCAGCAUGCACCUCUUUGUCUACUCCCCCUUACUUAUUUUACAUGCUCCUUCCCUGUCAUGGCCCCCUUUGUCAGACAGGGAAUGUUUGACAUUCUCUUGUUAAAUGGUAUUAUUUUCUGUCAGUACAAUAAAAUGAAAAAGUGGA